UUCCCUGGGAAACUUAGAAACCUUUAGAGCUCUUUUCUUCCAUAAUUUAAUGCGCUUGUAGUCAACUGUAUUAUUAUUUGCACGUUCUUUGCAGUCUGUGU